AAGACUAUAUUUUCAGGGAUAAUUUCUGUAGUAUGUGACUAGAGAAGUUUCUCUGAUCAUGUAGAGCACCGCACCCGAAGCCAAGAGGAGGAGCCAGAGCGUCCUCUCCUGAAUGCUAGGCCGGCUCUAGACGUUGCUUCUGCGACUGCCUUUGGCUUUUGAUAAUCGUUCUUCCCUUCCUUUGGAAUGGGUAGAGGGAGAGGAUGCAGUCUGAGUGGU